ACAUCCAGAGAACUUAGCAGAGAUGCUUUGGUGCCUUCGGGAACUCUGAGACAGGUGCUGCAUGGCUGUCGUCAGCUCGUGUUGUGAAAUGUUGGGUUAAGUCCCGNAACGAGCGCAACCCUUAUCCUUUGUUGCCAGCGGUUCGGCCGGGAACUCAAAGGAGACUGCCGGUGAUAAACCGGAGGAAGGUGGGGAUGACGUCAAGUCAUCAUGGCCCUUACGGCCAGGGCUACACACGUGCUACAAUGGCGCAUACAAAGAGAAGCGACCUCGCGAGAGCAAGCGGACCUCAUAAAGUGCGUCGUAGUCCGGAUUGGAGUCUGCAACUCGACUCCAUGAAGUCGGAAUCGCUAGUAAUCGUAGAUCAGAAUGCUACGGUGAAUACGUUCCCGGGCCUUGUACACACCGCCCGUCACACCAUGGGAGUGGGUUGCAAAAGAAGUAGGUAGCUUAACCUUCGGGAGGGCGCUUACCACUUUGUGAUUCAUGACUGGGGUGAAGUCGUAACAAGGUAGGCGUAGUGCU
rnacentral:rRNA from 1 species